UCCAGGUCUGUGCUCAUGGCCACCAGGCCCUU
rnacentral:piRNA from 2 species